GACGAACCGUGCGAACGUUGUUCGGAAUCACUGGGCAUAAAGGGCGCGUAGGCGGCUUUUCAAGUCAGGGGUGAAAUCCGGCAGCUCAACUGUCGAAGUGCCCUUGAUACUGAUGAGCUCGAGGGAGGUAGGGGUGUGUGGAACUUCCGGUGGAGCGGUGAAAUGCGUUGAUAUCGGAAGGAACGCCGGUGGCGAAAGCGACGCACUGGACCUCUUCUGACGCUGAGGCGCGAAGCUAGGGGAGCAAACGGG
rnacentral:rRNA from 1 species